rnacentral:tRNA from 1 species
GAAACGUGAAAAUCAAAGAAAAGCUUCUAACUUAUUCUUUAAGCGGAGUAUUACCGUUUACGCUUCU